rfam:Octopus bimaculoides Scaffold24561_contig_2, whole genome shotgun sequence.
ACCGUCCUCGUCAGGGGGUUGGGAGCUUGCUCAAGGAGGGUUUACUGAGGGCAAGACUGCUGACACCUGCAAUUAAUAAUUGAGCGCACCACUGUACCCGGAGGGUACAGGUUAGGUGCAAUUUUUGGAAAU